rnacentral:tRNA from 3 species
GGCCGGGUGGCAGAGCGGUUAUGCAACCGACUGCAGAUCGGUGUAGGUGAGUUCGACUCUCACCCCGGCCU